rnacentral:lncRNA from 1 species
GUCUCCUGUGUCAUAGCCCACUCUGUCACCACCCUCAGGGCCGCUGGAUCCAAGGAGGUGCCCACACACAGUGACGCCCAGUGGAGAGGGCAGAGCUGCUCUUCGCGGUGCUCAGCUGUCAGGGCAGGGCUCCCCUCCAAACGCCUGCAGCAGCACUCCCUGGAAAGGCCCUGCCCCUGGCUCUGCCACCCUCCCCAUGUGCCUGUGCGCCCUGGACUUCUGAGGCCAUAGAGCGGGCACAGGGGAGACAGGCCCCAAAGGACUGGCUGGACCAGAUUUACGACAGAAAGGCCGCAAACAGCCCCUGCUGAUUUCGAGACCCCUCUUCCUCAUCCCGCAAAGACGUCUAUUUGCAUACGCCAGACUCGAGGGAAGCGGCCGGCGGUGGCUGAUUUGCAUGCUCUCGUGCUAUUGGUUGGGAGGGCGGCACGGGAGCCAAUGGCUUGCAGCAGCGUUUACCCGGCGCCGCCUGGUGAGGUAAUGGAAUCCUGGCUGGCCCCGGCCGCCGGCGCGGGCCCCCGCCCUCCCGUGACGUAGCGGCUUCCCCGGCCCCACCCGGCGCGGCGCAGCCGCCCCCGGGAGCGCGCAGGGGGCCCGGCCGAGGCGCGGCGGGCGGCGGGGGCUGCCUGAUCCUUCCGGCCCGGCCCCUCGGGCAGGGCCCGCCGGGCCAGAUCCGAUGUCUGGCGACGUGGAGAGCGAUCUGGAAGCAGACAGCGGAGGAUUACCGAAGUCUGCUCGUUUGGGAGUGCCGGGCCGGCCUCUCACUUCGUAAAUCACGCGGUUCUGCAUUUGUUUACAGCGAGCCUGUUUGAUUUUGCAAUUUAAAAAAUGAGUUACAGAAGAUUUCUGUUUGUUUUUAAUAAAGAGCCUGGCUUGCGUUUAGGGGAGAUCUUGGCGUUCAUUUCAGCUGUCACCUCCAGCCUGGUGACCUUGGCCGCUUUUUCGUGCCGGCCCUGACUGCCUCCCAUGGCAACGAGGGAAGAGCAAAUGUGGAGGCGCUUCGAAAAAGCACCCAGCCGGCCGCCUCAUCCUUAUGUAAUGCAGAGCAUGUAACCCCAUCUGGGCGGUGUCCCUGGAAGGC